ACGCUCGACACCUACGGGAGCAGCAGUGGGGAAUUUUGCGCAAUGGGGGCAACCCUGACGCAGCAACGCCGCGUGCGGGACGAAGGCCUUCGGGUCGUAAACCGCUUUCAGCAGGGAAGACAGCGACGGUACCUGCAGAAGAAGCCCCGGCUAACUACGUGCCAACAGCCGCGGUAAUCUGAGCGGGCUGGCAAGGC
rnacentral:rRNA from 1 species